AGUAAUGUCUGGGAAACUGCCUGAUGGAGGGGGAUAACUACUGGAAACGGUAGCUAAUACCGCAUAACGUCGCAAGACCAAAGUGGGGGACCUUCGGGCCUCAUGCCAUAAGAUGUGCCCAGAUGGGAUUAGCUAGUAGGUGGGGUAAUGGCUCACCUAGGCGACGAUCCCUAGCUGGUCUGAGAGGAUGACCAGCCACACUGGAACUGAGACACGGUCCAG
rnacentral:rRNA from 1 species